rnacentral:rRNA from 1 species
GAAUUCGAUUAUCUGGUUGAUUCUGCCGGACCCGACUGCUAUCAGAGUGAGAUUAAGCCAUGCGAGUCAACGUAGCAAUACGUGGCAUACGGCUCAGUAACACGUAGUCAACAUAACCAAAGGACGUGGAUAAACUCGGGAAACUGAGGCUAAACCGCGAUAGAUCAAGAUACCUGGAAUGGUUCUUGAUCAAAAUCUAUAUGGCCUUUGGAUUGGACUGCGUCCGAUCAGGCUGUUGGUGAGGUAAUGGCCCACCAAACCUAUAACCGGUACGGGCUCUGAGAGGAGGAGCCCGGAGAUGGGUACUGAGAUGAGGACCCAGGCCCUAUGGGGCGCAGCAGGCGCGAAACCUCUGCAAUAGGCGAAAGCUUGACAGGGUUACUCUGAGUGACUUUCGUUAAGAAAGUCUUUUGACACCUCUAAAAAUGGUGUAGAAUAAGGGGUGGGCAAGUCUGGUGUCAGCCGCCGCGGUAAUACCAGCACCCCGAGUGGUCGGGACGAUUAUUGGGCCUAAAGCAUCCGUAGCCGGCCUUACAAGUCCUCCGUUAAAUCCAGCUGCUUAACAGAUGGGCUGCGGAGGAUACUAUAAGACUAGGAGGCAGGAGAGGCAAGCGGUACUCAGUGGGUAGGGGUAAAAUCCGUUGAUCCAUUGAAGACCACCAGUGGCGAAGGCGGCUUGCCAGAAUGCGCUCGACGGUGAGGGAUGAAAGCUGGGGGAGCAAACCGGAUUAGAUACCCGGGUAGUCCCAGCCGUAAACGAUGCAGACUCGGUGAUGGACUAGCUUUAUGCUGGUCCAGUGCCGCAGGGAAGCCGUUAAGUCUGCCGCCUGGGUAGUACGGUCGCAAGACUGAAACUUAAAGGAAUUGCGGGGGAGCACCACAAGGGUGAAGCCUGCGGUUCAA